CCCAAGAACGUAGUUAGGACCCUAACCGACGGAACGGAAGGGCGGACCUAACCGACGGUGANAUUCAUGACUGGGGUG
rnacentral:rRNA from 1 species